rnacentral:rRNA from 1 species
UACGUAGGCAGCAAGCGUUGUUCGGAGUUACUGGGCGUAAAGAGUGCGUAGGCGGUGUCGAAAGUUUGGCGUGAAAGCCCCCGGCUCAACUGGGGAGGGUCACGCGAUACUGAUCGACUGGAAGGCAGGAGAGGGUAGUGGAAUUCCCGGUGUAGUGGUGAAAUGCGUAGAUAUUGGGAAGAACACCGGUGGCGAAGGCGGCUCUCUGGACCGAGACUGACGCUGAGGCGCGAAAGCGUGGGGAGCAAACAGG